AAAAAUUACAAGGCUGUAAUGGGACCUUAUAUAAUGGUCCUAGCAGCUUAGACUCAAAGAAAUAAAAAGACUCAAAACAACAGGACUUUUAAAAGUAAAGACUCAAAACAACAGGACUUGUAAAUUAAAAAUGCUAAAUUAAAGGACUCAAAAAAAGGAAAUAAAAGACUAAUUAAAUCGUCUCUGCAUAAGACCAAAGACAAGAGAAACUCAUUAGUCAAAGAAUUGAAAUUUGAUUGAACACUUACCUUAUUU
rnacentral:lncRNA from 1 species